rnacentral:rRNA from 1 species
GACGAACGCUGGCGGCGUGCUUAACACAUGCAAGUCGAACGAUGAAGCCGGAGCUUGCUCCGGUGGAUUAGUGGCGAACGGGUGAGUAACACGUGAGCAAUCUGCCCUUGACUCUGGGAUAACUGCGGGAAACUGUAGCUAAUACCGGAUACGACACCUUGGGGCAUCCCAGGGUGUGGAAAGAAUUUCGGUCAAGGAUGAGCUCGCGGCCUAUCAGCUAGUUGGUGAGGUAAUGGCUCACCAAGGCGACGACGGGUAGCCGGCCUGAGAGUGUGACCGGCCACACUGGAACUGGGGCACGGUCGAGGCUCCUACGGGAGGCAGCAGUGGGGAAUGUUGCACAAUGGGCGAAAGCCUGAUGCAGCAACGCCGCGUGAGAGAUGAAGGCCUUCGGGUUGUAAACCUCUUUUAGCAGGGAAGAAGCGAAAGUGACGGUAGCUGCAGAAAAAGCACCGGCUAACUACGUGCCAGCAGCCGCAGUAA